AUACGGAGGAUCCGAGCGUUAUCCGGCUUUAUUGGGUUUAAAGGGAGCGUAGGUGGAUUGUUAAGUCAGUUGUGAAAGUUUGCGGCUCAACCGUAAAAUUGCAGUUGAAACUGGCAGUCUUGAGUACAGUAGAGGUGGGCGGAAAUCGUGGGGUAGCGGUGAAAUGCUUAGAUAUCACGAAGAACUCCGAUUGCGAAGGCAGCUCACUAGACUGUUACUGACACUGAUGCUCGAAAGUGUGGGUAUCAAACAGGAUUAGAUACCCUGGUAGUCCACACAGUAAACGAUGAAUACUCGCUGUUUGCGAUAUACAGUAAGCGGCCAAGCGAAAGCAUUAAGUAUUCCACCUGGGGAGUACGCCGGCAACGGUGAAACUUAAAGGAAUUGGCGGGG
rnacentral:rRNA from 1 species